CUAUGGUGAUGGUUAUGAUGUCAGACAAUCACAGUGUUGUCGUAUAAGGGAGAAGAACUCAUCUCAACAGGUGUGACAUCCUGGCUAAAGUAGUACAGUUCACAAUAACAAUAGCAUCAAGCACAGCCUAGAAACUGUAAAUAGGGAGGGGCAGAGGGGUUGAAGGGAGAGAAGAGGAAUGGGAAAAAAUAAGAACCAAUAUAUAUCAUCUACAGGCUUGGAGCUGCGGUGACUUCCAUGUCAAAAGUGGAAGAGAGUGUGCCCCACGUGGCCUCCGUGCUGGCUCCCUCCAUGCCACGUGGGUACGGCUGAGGGUAGAGCUGCCUCCCCUGCCUGGGCCCAAGCAGG
rnacentral:lncRNA from 1 species